GAUGAACGCUAGCGGCAGGCUUAACACAUGCAAGUCGAGGGGUAUAGUUCUUCGGAGCUAGAGACCGGCGCACGGGUGCGUAACGCGUAUGCAAUCUACCUUUUGCAGAGGGAUAGCCCAGAGAAAUUUGGAUUAAUACCUCAUGGUAUGUGAGAAUGGCAUCAUUUUCACAUUAAAGUCACAACGGCAAAAGAUGAGCAUGCGUCCCAUCAGCUAGUUGGUAAGGUAACGGCUUACCAAGGCAACGAUGGGUAGGGGUCCUGAGAGGGAGAUCCCCCACACUGGUACUGAGACACGGACCAGACUUCUACGGGAGGCAGCAGUGAGGAAUAUUGGACAAUGGGCGCAAGCCUGAUCCAGCCAUGCCGCGUGCAGGAUGACGGUCCUAUGGAUUGUAAACUGCUUUUGUACAGGAAGAAACACUGGUUCGUGAACCAGCUUGACGGUACUGUAAGAAUAAGGAUCGGCUAACUCCGUGCCAGCAGCCGCAGUAAUAC
rnacentral:rRNA from 1 species